UGGAAGAUUUUUUUUCAGUUCAAAAAAAAAGGAAAUUCAACACUUGAAUACACUGGUAUGAUUGAUGCAUUCAGGAAAACCGUUCGUUAUGAGGGUUUCGGCGCUUUGUACAAGGGUUUGGUCCCCAACUCAGUCAAGGUGGUUCCAUCGAUACGAUUGUGUUUGUGACAUAUGAGGUGGUUAAGGAUGUACUCGAGGUAGAGAUGAGGAUAUCCGAUUAAUGAAACAAAACGUCACAAACUCUUGUUAAUUAUUUUAUUUUAGUGCUUAAUCUGCACCAUUUAUGGAAAGAUAAGGCUAAAAGUGGGAUUUCAUUGGGUUUAGUUAUUUGUAUGGAAAAAUACAACUCAAAUUUGUAUUUUGGUCGGAUGUGUGGGCAUCGGAUGAAUCUUUGGCUGUGAAGUUUCCAUUAUUAUUCGCAUUGAUAAAGACAAAGGUUGGGUCUGUGGCUAGCUGAGUGGCAGGGGAUUCAUGUGGCUGGAAGUGGGUUUGCUCAGUUGGUGUGGCAAGGGGUGUCUCAGUAGUGCAAGGUGCAGUCCGUAUUUGCCUUUCGGACCCGAGAUAUCUUGGAUCUUCAUCAAUACAUGAGCGGGCCGGAGAAGUUCAGCAUGCGGUCCAAACAAGUAGGGUUGGAUUGGGAUAUGUGGAAUCCCGGGUUUAGACUAUACAUAAAGUGGGUUGGUAAUAGAAUGCUCUGCAAUAUGUUUUCUCAUUCUGUAUGUUUCUAUUUUCCUUGUUUAGCUGUACGUAUUGGUGUAACAUAGCCAAUGACUAGUGGUUGGUGGAUUAAAUGAAUAAAAGUCCUUUUGUUUCCCUAUGCAUAUUUGGUCAACGUUUUUAUCAAUUUAUUGAUGG
rnacentral:lncRNA from 1 species